CGUGCAGAAAAAGCGCUUUGGGGCACAAAUACUGACGAAAAUGUCACGGAGAAUCACGCCACUCAGGCACAAAUACUGACGAAAAUGUCAAGGAGAAUCACGUCACUCAGGUAUUUUUUUGUGUCUGUUAAUUUUUCUUUUGAGCUACUUUCAUCAGUUGAACAAGUUUACCUAGCAAGUACUAAGUAGCAUAAUGUGCAUUACUAAUUUUUCACUUGCGAUUUUC